UACGACGGGGGCUAGCGUUGCUCGGAAUCACUGGGCGUAAAGCGCACGUAGGCGGAUUGUUAAGUCAGGGGUGAAAUCCUGGAGCUCAACUCCAGAACUGCCUUUGAUACUGGCGAUCUCGAGUCCGGGAGAGGUGAGUGGAACUGCGAGUGUAGAGGUGAAAUGCGUAGAUAUCUGGAGGAACACCGGUGGCGAAGGCGGCAUCCUGGACCGGUAUUGACGCUGAGGCGCGAAAGCCAGGGGAGCAAACGGG
rnacentral:rRNA from 1 species